GGGCGUAAGAGCUCGUAGGCGGUUUGUCGCGUCUGCCGUGAAAGUCCGAGGCUCAACCUCGGAUCUGCGGUGGGUACGGGCAGACUAGAGUGAUGUAGGGGAGACUGGAAUUCCUGGUGUAGCGGUGAAAUGCGCAGAUAUCAGGAGGAACACCGAUGGCGAAGGCAGGUCUCUGGGCAUUUACUGACGCUGAGGAGCGAAAGCAUGGGGAGCGAACAGGAUUAGAUACCCUGGUAGUCCAUGCCGUAAACGUUGGGCACUAGGUGUGGGGGACAUUCCACGUUUUCCGCGCCGUAGCUAACGCAUUAAGUGCCCCGCCUGGGGAGUACGGCCGCAAGGCUAAAACUCAAAGGAAUUGACGGGGGCCCGCACAAGCGGCGGAGCAUGCGGAUUAAUUCGAUGCAACGCGAAGAACCUUACCAAGGCUUGACAUGUGCCAGACCGCUUCAGAGAUGGAGUUUCCCUUCGGGGCUGGUUCACAGGUGGUGCAUGGUUGUCGUCAGCUCGUGUCGUGAGAUGUUGGGUUAAGUCCCGCAACGAGCGCAACCCUCGUUCCAUGUUGCCAGCACG
rnacentral:rRNA from 1 species